rnacentral:rRNA from 1 species
AUUGAACGCUGGCGGCAUGCUUUACACAUGCAAGUCGAACGGUAACAGGCCGCAAGGUGCUGACGAGUGGCGAGCGGGUGAGUAAUGCAUCGGAACGUGCCCAGUCGUGGGGGAUAACUACUCGAAAGAGUAGCUAAUACCGCAUACGAUCUAUGGAUGGAAGCGGGGGACCGUAAGGCCUCGCGCGAUUGGAGCGGCCGAUGUCAGAUUAGGUAGUUGGUGGGGUAAAGGCUCACCAAGCCAACGAUCUGUAGCUGGUCUGAGAGGACGACCAGCCACACUGGGACUGAGACACGGCCCAGACUCCUACGGGAGGCAGCAGUGGGGAAUUUUGGACAAUGGGCGCAAGCCUGAUCCAGCAAUGCCGCGUGCAGGAAGAAGGCCUUCGGGUUGUAAACUGCUUUUGUACGGAACGAAACGGCUCUGGUUAAUACCCGGGGCUAAUGACGGUACCGUAAGAAUAAGCACCGGCUAACUACGUG